GACGAACGCUGGCGGCGUGCUUAACACAUGCAAGUCGAACGGAAAGGCCCUGCUUUUGUGGGGUGCUCGAGUGGCGAACGGGUGAGUAACACGUGAGUAACCUGCCCUUGACUUUGGGAUAACUUCAGGAGACUGGGGCUAAUACCGGAUAGGAGCUCCUGCUGCAUGGUGGGGGUUGGAAAGUUUCGGCGGUUGGGGAUGGACUCGCGGCUUAUCAGCUUGUUGGUGGGGUAGUGGCUUACCAAGGCUUUGACGGGUAGCCGGCCUGAGAGGGUGACCGGUCACAUUGGGACUGAGAUACGGCCCAGACUCCUACGGGAGGCAGCAGUGGGGAAUAUUGCACAAUGGGCGGAAGCCUGAUGCAGCAACGCCGCGUGCGGGAUGACGGCCUUCGGGUUGUAAACCGCUUUCGCCUGUGACGAAGCGUGAGUGACGGUAAUGGGUAAAGAAGCACCGGCUAACUACGUG
rnacentral:rRNA from 1 species